AAAAAGGUAAGCUAAUUAAGCUAUAGGGUUCAUACCCCUUUUAUAAAGGUCUAAUCCUUUCCUUUUUA
rnacentral:tRNA from 1 species